AUUGAACGCUGGCGGCAUGCCUUACACAUGCAAGUCGAACGGCAGCACGGGUGCUUGCACCUGGUGGCGAGUGGCGAACGGGUGAGUAAUACAUCGGAACAUGUCCUGUAGUGGGGGAUAGCCCGGCGAAAGCCGGAUUAAUACCGCAUACGAUCUACGGGUGAAAGCGGGGGACCUUCGGGCCUCGCGCUAUAGGGUUGGCCGAUGGCUGAUUAGCUAGUUGGUGGGGUAAAGGCCUACCAAGGCGACGAUCAGUAGCUGGUCUGAGAGGGCGACCAGCCACACUGGGACUGAGACACGGCCCAGACUCCUACGGGAGGCAGCAGUGGGGAAUUUUGGACAAUGGGCGAAAGCCUGAUCCAGCAAUGCCGCGUGUGUGAAGAAGGCCUUCGGGUUGUAAAGCACUUUUGUCCGGAAAGAAAUCCUUGGCCCUAAUACGGUCGGGGGAUGACGGUACCGGAAGAAUAAGCACCGGCUAACUACGUG
rnacentral:rRNA from 1 species